rnacentral:snoRNA from 1 species
AUAAGCCUAUGAUGGUUAGUUAUCCCUGUCUGAAAAUCUAGACUGAGGGAAGUAAUCUUUUCUGAGGCUUAA